UUUAAAUGAAUUCCUCCUUUACCAUGUAGCAGCGUGAGAUAUUUGAAAUGCUGUGGGUGGGAAGUGCGCGUGGUGCGGGAGAAAACGCCCGAGGCUGUGAGGAUUCCUGCGUUAUAAUAUUGAGUUAAGUUUUUAAAUUAAUAUUUUUCUGUUCUAUUAUUUGUCUUUGACAUGUUAGCUCUGAUUUGAUGUAUAUGUUUGCCCAAAAUGAUGAUCCAAAUCUGUAAGUAAAGACAUUGUGAGCUAACAUUACAUUUGCCUAACUUAGUGUUUUGCUUCGCCCAGGGAAAAUGUUAGGAUUUUUUUUUAGUAGUAGUAGAAAUAGUAGAUUAUAAUAAUAGUAUUUGCGCAACUAAUUAAUUGACCUGGCAAACAACUAUCAACCACUAAUAAUGCUGUAAAAAUGUUUCUCCCCUUUGGACCUGCUUUUCAAUGUUGUUUGAUGACUGAGGACACUUUACAAUACAUGGUAAGUCAUUUCUAUAAAAACCGAUAUAGUUGUUAAUAGAUAAUGAAUUACUAAUGUCCAAACCAGAUGUUCAUUAACUCACCUUUAUGCCAUCCCAAAUGCAUGUGACUUUUGUGUUUUGUUUUGCCUGUGUUCCCAUGUGUUAUUUUUUCAGAAAAAGUAUACAUUUGUUUAUUUUGUAGUCAUUCUAGCAAAAGGCGAUGAAACUGGUUUGUUUUAUGUGCACAACUUUAGGAUAACCAGACAGAUGAUUGUGAGGGUGACCCUGAGCAGCUCUUCGUGGUGUUCAUUAUUCUGAAGGAGGGGGAGAACUUCAUGAACUGCCUGCUGACAUUGGCAUUGUGAUCGAGGGAGUUAAAGUUUUGAAUCAACUCACUUCAGUCACAUCAGCUUGUGCCCUGCUUCUGGAUGCCUUACAGCAAGUGAGGGCUGAAAAAAGGAGGCCUCAAAGUUUGUAUUUGCUGUUUCUGCAAAACUGGCUCCAUUUAUGCUCCUGAUCAGUUUUCGGGCAUUGCUCGUGGUGGAAAUCCCUGAGUUCAUCAGAGUAUCAAUUUAAUGAAUAAGGACAUACUUUUUGCAUUAGAAGAGUAGCUUCAAUCCUUAAAGCUUCAAGUCCGGAACAGUGAACUGUGGUAGUGUUUCAGUCUGUAGUACUGUGUUUCUGUCUUCACUGGUGAGUUUCCAUUUGUAUUUACUUACAAUGUACAGAUGCAGAUUGCAUUUAUGUUGUCACAGUUUUCCAGGCUCUUUUUCCAAUGACUAAAAUGCAUGUUUGAGCUAUUUUAACUGAAAGUAACUUGCACUGACAUCUUACAAUUUGUCUGUGCUAUUGUUUUGUCUCAAGAUGAAUGCCAAUAAUGUGUUUUUUUUUUUUUUUUUUUUUAACUACUUAAUUGAACCAGAGAGGUUUGUGUUCAUUGAUUGUGAUUGUUAAUCUCAGUUUAGAAGAAAAGAGACUUAGGUUUUCCUUUUAAGUUGUUAAUGUUGAAAUGAAUGCAUGUUGUGCAGAUUUAGAUAUGUAUUUUGCACUGUUCCCUUCAUAUUUUUGUCAGACAUUGUUACUGGAUAAAUUUAGAUAUUUUGUACCAAAGCAACUGAAAGGACAUACAGUAACAGAACAGCAUUAAAAUGAGAUCAAUUUGUGAAGGAUUAUUUAUGCUUAUACAUAUGAAGAGACAUUAUUCAAUAUAAAUGAUAACAUUAUAUUUUGUUCAAUAAAAAAAAAAUAUUUA